ACUCCUACGGGAGGCAGCAGUAGGGAAUUUUCCGCAAUGGACGAAAGUCUGACGGAGCAAUGCCGCGUGAGUGAUGAAGGUUUUCCGAAUCGUAAAGCUCUGUUGUUAAGGGAAGAAUAGCAAGAAUAGGAAAUGAUUCUUGUCUGACGGUUACCUUACCAGAAAGCCACGGCUAACUACGUGCCAGCAGCCGCGGUAAUACGUAGGUGGCAAGCG
rnacentral:rRNA from 1 species